rnacentral:misc_RNA from 1 species
GAAAUGCGAUAAGUAAUGUGAAUUGCAGAAUUCAGUGAAUCAUCGAAUCUUUGAACGCACAUUGCGCCCGCCAGUAUUCUGGCGGGCAUGCCUGUUCGAGCGUCAUUACAACCCUCAGGCCCCCGGGCCUGGCGUUGGGGAUCGGCGGAAGCCCCCUGCGGGCACAACGCCGUCCCCCAAAUACAGUGGCAGUCCCGCCGCAGCUUCCAUUGCGUAGUAGCUAACACCUCGCAACUGGAGAGCGGCGCGGCCACGCCGUAAAACACCCAACUUCUGAAUGUUGACCUCGAAUCAGGUAGGAAUACCCGCUGAACUUAAGC